GGCUGGAGUGUAGUGGCGCGAUCUUGGGCUCACUGCAAGCUCCGCCUCCCAGGUUCAUGCCAUUCUUCCUGCCUCAGCCUCCCGAGUAGCUGGGACUACAGGCGCCCGCCACUUCUGCACCCAAUGCAGGGGUCACGUUUCAUUCAUCUCUGAGACACCAGAUCUGGCACAUAGAUGCAUUAGGCUUUCUGUAAACGUUUACCCAAUAAAUAAAACAGCAAAGAAUGCACCCCUCAAAAAAUAAGUUGGGACAUCUCUGCCACCCCCUCAGUCCCCAGGGGGCAUCUGAGCCACCUCCACCCUGUGCCUUUCUGUGUUCUGGGAUUUUCACCAGCUGCGCUUCCUGUGACCUUGGUAGCAAUAAGAUUCUACAGUGGAAUCGGAGCUUUCUCUAAGACAACUGGUCCCAUAUUCUGUGUCAUAAAGUCUUCAUUCGAGCUAUUCCUUGUCACCCAGGCAACAUUCAUUUGGCAGAUAGUGACUGAGCACAACCAGGAAUCAGGCACUGCGCUAGGUGCUUGGGAUACAUCUGUGACCAACACAAAGUUCCCCACCCCGGGGGAGCUCUAUGUGGCCCAGAAUCUGGAUCUCUGCCCCCAACCCCCAUCCUCAAGGCAGAGUCCCAGAGACGUCCUAAAUCUCACACAGGCUGAGUUGUGCUUAAUCCAUUUCUGCAGACACAGCUCAUGUACAAAUGGGCCAAGCCGAAAAUCUGUAGCGAAGACCUUGAGGGGGCGGUGAAGCUGCCUGCCUCUGGUGUGAAGACCAGCUGCCCACCCUGCAACCCAGGCUUCUUCAAAACCAGUAACAGCACCUGCCAGCCCUGCCCAUACGGUUCCUACUCCAAUGGCUCAGAUUGUACCCACUGCCCUGCGGGGACUGAACCUGCUGUGGGAUUUGAAUACAAAUGGUGGAACACGCUGCCCACAAACAUGGAAACGACCGUUCUCAGUGGGAUCAACUUCGAGUACAAGGGCAUGACAGGCUGGGAGGUGGCUGGUGAUCACAUUUACACAGUUGCUGGAGCCUCAGACAAUGACUUCAUGAUUCUCACUCUGGUUGUGCCGGGAUUUAGACCUCCACAGUCGGUGAUGGUAGACACAGAGAAUAAAGAGGUGGCCAGAAUCACAUUUGUCUUUGAGACCCUCUGUUCUGUGAACUGUGAGCUCUACUUCAUGGUGGGUGUGAAUUCUAGGACCAACACUCCCGUGGAGACGUGGAAAGGUUCCAAAGGCAAACAGUCCUAUACCUACAUCAUUGAGGAGAACACGACCACGAGCUUCACCUGGGCCUUCCAGAGGACCACUUUUCAUGAGGCAAGCAGGAAGUACACCAAUGACGUUGCCAAGAUCUACUCCAUCAAUGUCACCAAUGUUAUGAAUGGCGUGGCCUCCUACUGCCGUCCCUGUGCUCUAGAAGCCUCUGAUGUGGGCUCCUCCUGCACCUCUUGUCCUGCUGGUUACUAUAUUGAGCGAGAUUCAGGAACCUGCCACUCCUGCCCCCCUAACACCAUUCUGAAAGCCCACCAGCCUUACGGCGUCCAGGCCUGUGUGCCCUGCGGUCCAGGGACCAAGAACAACAAGAUCCACUCUCUGUGCUACAACGAUUGCAUCUUCUCACGCAACACUCCGACCAGGACUUUCAACUACAACUUCUCCGCUUUGGCAAACACUGUCACUCUUGCUGGAGGGCCAAGCUUCACUUCCAAAGGGCUGAAAUACUUCCAUCACUUUACCCUUAGUCUCUGUGGAAACCAGGGUCGGAAAAUGUCUGUGUGCACCGACAAUGUCACUGACCUCCGGAUUCCUGAGGGUGAGUCAGGGUUCUCCAAAUCUAUCACAGCCUACGUCUGCCAGGCAGUCAUCAUCCCCCCAGAGGUGACAGGCUACAAGGCCGGGGUUUCCUCACAGCCUGUCAGCCUUGCUGACCGACUUAUUGGGGUGACAACAGAUAUGACUCUGGAUGGA
rnacentral:lncRNA from 10 species